UACGUAGGGUGCAAGCGUUAAUCGGAAUUACUGGGCGUAAAGCGUGCGCAGGCGGUUUUGUAAGUCAGAUGUGAAAUCCCCGGGCUUAACCUGGGAACUGCGUUUGAAACUACAAGGCUAGAGUGUGGCAGAGGGGGGUGGAAUUCCACGUGUAGCAGUGAAAUGCGUAGAGAUGUGGAGGAACACCGAUGGCGGAGGCAGCCCCCUGGGUUAACACUGACGCUCAGGCACGAAAGCGUGGGGAGCAAACAGG
rnacentral:rRNA from 1 species